rnacentral:rRNA from 1 species
AGGUAAGCUACUAAGAGCGAAUGGUGGAUGCCUUGACUGGUAAAGGCGAUGAAGGACGUACUAGACUGCGAUAAGCUACGGGGAGCUGUCAAGAAGCUUUGAUCCGUAGAUUUCCGAAUGGGGCAACCCAAUGUAUAGAGAUAUACAUUACCUAUAUAGGAGCGAACGAGGGGAAUUGAAACAUCUUAGUACCCUCAGGAAAAGAAAUCAAUAGAGAUUGCGUCAGUAGCGGCGAGCGAAAGCGCAAGAGGGCAAACCCAGUGCUUGCACUGGGGGUUGUAGGACUGCAAUGUGCAAGAGGUGAGUUUAGCAGAACAUUCUGGAAAGUAUAGCCAUAGAGGGUGAUAGUCCCGUAUGCGAAAAACAAACCUUAGCUAGCAGUAUCCUGAGUAGGGCGGGACACGAGAAAUCCUGUCUGAAGCUGGGUCGACCACGAUCCAACCCUAAAUACUAAUACCAGAUCGAUAGUGCACAAGUACCGUGAGGGAAAGGUGAAAAGAACUGAGGUGAUCAGAGUGAAAUAGAACCUGAAACCAUUUGCUUACAAUCAUUCAGAGCCCUAUGUAGCAAUACAGGGUGAUGGACUGCCUUUUGCAUAAUGAGCCUGCGAGUUGUGGUGUCUGGCAAGGUUAAGCAAACGCGAAGCCGUAGCGAAAGCGAGUCUGAAUAGGGCGCUUAGUCAGAUGCUGCAGACCCGAAACGAAGUGAUCUAUCCAUGAGCAAGUUGAAGCUAGUGUAAGAACUAGUGGAGGACUGAACCCAUAGGCGUUGAAAAGCCCCGGGAUGACUUGUGGAUAGGGGUGAAAGGCCAAUCAAACUUCGUGAUAGCUGGUUCUCUCCGAAAUAUAUUUAGGUAUAGCGUUGUGUCGUAAUAUAAGGGGGUAGAGCACUGAAUGGGCUAGGGCAUACACCAAUGUACCAAACCCUAUCAAACUCCGAAUACCUUAUAUGUAAUCACAGCAGUCAGGCGGCGAGUGAUAAAAUCCGUCGUCAAGAGGGAAACAACCCAGACUACCAGCUAAGGUCCCUAAAUCUUACUUAAGUGGAAAACGAUGUGAAGUUACUUAAACAACCAGGAGGUUGGCUUAGAAGCAGCCAUCCUUUAAAGAAAGCGUAAUAGCUCACUGGUCUAGUGAUUUUGCGCGGAAAAUAUAACGGGGCUAAAGUAAGUACCGAAGCUGUAGACUUGCGCACAACUUAGAUUAUUUAAGUUUAGAAUAUGAGAAACUAAGUUAUAUGUUUAGUUAUAUUUUUACUGAUUUUUAUAGAGUAAAGAUAGAAAUAAAACUUAGUAAAAUCAGUAAAAAUAUUCUUAGAUUAAAGUUAAGUAGUUUAAGUUGUGUGCAAGUGGUAGGAGAGCGUUCUAUUUGCGUCGAAGGUAUACCGGUAAGGAGUGCUGGAGCGAAUAGAAGUGAGCAUGCAGGCAUGAGUAGCGAUAAUUAAUGUGAGAAUCAUUAACGCCGUAAACCCAAGGUUUCCUACGCGAUGCUCGUCAUCGUAGGGUUAGUCGGGUCCUAAGUCGAGUCCGAAAGGGGUAGACGAUGGCAAAUUGGUUAAUAUUCCAAUACCAACAUUAGUGUGCGAUGGAAGGACGCUUAGGGCUAAGGGGGCUAGCGGAUGGAAGUGCUAGUCUAAGGUCGUAGGAGGUUAUACAGGCAAAUCCGUAUAACAAUACUCCGAGAACUGAAAGGCUUUUUGAAGUCUUCGGAUGGAUAGAAGAACCCCUGAUGCCGUCGAGCCAAGAAAAGUUUCUAAGUUUAGCUAAUGUUGCCCGUACCGUAAACCGACACAGGUGGGUGGGAUGAGUAUUCUAAGGCGCGUGGAAGAACUCUCUUUAAGGAACUCUGCAAAAUAGCACCGUAUCUUCGGUAUAAGGUGUGGUUCGCUUCGUAUUAGGAUUUACUCCGAAAGCGAAGAAACUUACAACAAAGAGUCCCUCCCGACUGUUUACCAAAAACACAGCACUCUGCUAACUCGUAAGAGGAUGUAUAGGGUGUGACGCCUGCCCGGUGCUCGAAGGUUAAUUGAUGGGGUUAGCAUUAGCGAAGCUCUUGAUCGAAGCCCGAGUAAACGGCGGCCGUAACUAUAACGGUCCUAAGGUAGCGAAAUUCCUUGUCGGUUAAAUACCGACCUGCAUGAAUGGCGUAACGAGAUGGGAGCUGUCUCAAAGAGGGAUCCAGUGAAAUUGUAGUGGAGGUGAAAAUUCCUCCUACCCGCGGCAAGACGGAAAGACCCCGUGGACCUUUACUACAGCUUGACACUGCUAUUUGGAUAAGAAUGUGCAGGAUAGGUGGGAGGCUUUGAGUAUAUGACGCCAGUUGUAUAUGAGCCAUUGUUGAGAUACCACUCUUUCUUAUUUGGGUAGCUAACCAGCUUGAGUUAUCCUCAAGUGGGACAAUGUCUGGUGGGUAGUUUGACUGGGGCGGUCGCCUCCCAAAUAAUAACGGAGGCUUACAAAGGUUGGCUCAGAACGGUUGGAAAUCGUUCGUAGAGUAUAAAGGUAUAAGCCAGCUUAACUGCAAGACAUACAAGUCAAGCAGAGACGAAAGUCGGUCUUAGUGAUCCGGUGGUUCUGUGUGGAAGGGCCAUCGCUCAAAGGAUAAAAGGUACCCCGGGGAUAACAGGCUGAUCUCCCCCAAGAGCUCACAUCGACGGGGAGGUUUGGCACCUCGAUGUCGGCU